rnacentral:rRNA from 1 species
AACCUGCCUCAUACAGGGGGAUAACAGUUGGAAACGGCUGCUAAUACCGCAUAAGCACACAGUGCCGCAUGGUACGGUGUGAAAAACUCCGGUGGUAUGAGAUGGACCCGCGUCUGAUUAGGUAGUUGGUGAGGUAACGGCCCACCAAGCCGACRAUCAGUARCCGACCUGAGAGGGUGACCGGCCACAUUGGGACUGAGACACGGCCCAAACUCCUACGGGAGGCAGCAGUGGGGAAUAUUGGACAAUGGGGGAAACCCUGAUCCRGCGACGCCGCGUGAGUGAAGAAGUAUUUCGGUAUGUAAAGCUCUAUCAGCAGGGAARAAAAUGACGGUACCUGACUAAGAAGCCCCGGCUAACUACGUGCCAGCAGCCGCGGUAAUACGUAGGGGGCAAGCGUUAUCCGGAUUUACUGGGUGUAAAGGGAGCGUAGACGGCACUGCAAGUCUGGAGUGAAAGCCCGGGGCUCAACCCCGGGACUGCUUUGGAAACUGUGGUGCUAGA